UACCCUUGACAUGUCAAGAAUUCUGCAGAGAUGUGGAAGUGCUCGAAAGAGAACUUGAACACAGGUGCUGCAUGGCC
rnacentral:rRNA from 1 species